rnacentral:rRNA from 1 species
CACCGCGGUUAUACGAGAGACUCAAGCUGACAAACACCGGCGUAAAGCGUGGUUAAGCUAAAAAUUUGCUAAAGUCAAACACCUUCAAGACUGUUAUACGUACCCGAAGGCAGGAAGCACAACCACGAAAGUGACUUUAACUAAGCUGAAUCCACGAAAGCUAAGGAA